GCCUGGGUGGCUCAGUCAGUUGAGUGUCUGACUUCAGCUCAGGUCAUGAUCUCAGUUCGUGAGUUCGAGCCCUGCAUCAGGCU
rnacentral:tRNA from 1 species